UCACCCAUGUGACCUCCGCUGCUGUCUGCGGCACCCUCUGGGGCACCUGCGGGAAGCAGGGGGAGGCAAGAGAUGGAGGCAGUUCUGUGGGCACACUGUCCCGCCUCAGAGCAUCAAGCCCAGCUCUGAACCCAAGGGCAGUGCUGGCCACAGCAGCCAGGCCAGGCUGUGUUCCCAGCUACACUCACUGUCUCUGGGUCAUUCCUUCACCCAGGAUGUCCUGGCACCAGCUCUUUCCCAGAGCAAAAUCUGGAGCCAAGCCUGGCUGUUGAUAUCUCCACCCAGCCCUUCUCCAGGCCCCACUGCAGUCUUUCCCUCCAUUCCCAUCCCUCACCUGUUGCCACUUGGACAGCAGCGGCUGCCCCUCACAGGAUUGGUAGUGGGCGUUCGCCUCACGUCUCUUUGACAUCUUGGCAGUGCUCUAAUCAGCACUGGCCAAGUGCACCUGGGAGAGCUGCUUCCUUCUGAGGAGUUGUUGCCUCGCGAGAGAACUGCUGCCUCCUCAGAGAGCUGCUCUCCUGGGAGUGGCAACAUGAGGUGUUUGGCCAGAUAAGCGGCCUCCAGGUCACCACACGAACCCAUGUCACAAUGGUCUCUGGGCACGAUACAACCCUGGGUCACAAUGGCCUGUUAGGCACAGCCACCCCUUGUCAUGGAGAGACAUGGAGACCCCCCCUCGGUCACAAAAGCCUUUUUUUUUGGCGUUUGACCCUCAACUUCACCUUCAUUUGUUCCUCUCGCAAUGGCCUCCAUUUUUCCCUUGUCCCGUAAUGUGUUCUUCCCCUAAACAUCCCCAAAGAACCCCUGUGCCUUGCCAAACAACUUUUCCCACCCAGCCCACCAUGUGUCCCACCCCUUGGCUCUCGGGGCCCAGCAAGAUUCUGGAGCAGAUCAUGUGAGGGGGAUCACAAGGCCCAGAGAGGAUAGCUGAGGGAUCAGUCCCCACCAGCAUGGGUUUAGGAAAGGCAGGUCCUACCUGAGCAACAUUAUGUUCUUUGACAAGUGGCUGACCCACUUCCAGGCCGAAGGAGAAGCUGUGCAUGGAAUCUCCCUGGACCAAAGCAAAGCCUUUGACUCUGUCUCCAACAGCAGAGUCUUGAAAAAGCCACUAGCCUAGGACUUGGGAAGGUGCACUCUUUACUGGGUUAAGAACUGUUGGGACGAGGCCCAGAGUGUUGUGCUGAAUUGUGCAACAUCCAGGUAUCUUCCGGUCAGUAGGGGUGUCCCCUGGGCUCACUCCUGUUUAUUAUCUGUCCUGGUGAUGUGGCCAAGGGCAUUGAGUGUACCCUCAGUUGUAAAUUUCUGACAACACCAAGAUGGGUCAGAGUGUCAGCUGGAAGCCAGGAAGGCUCUUUGGGAGAAUGCGGACAGGAUCAAUGGGGCAGGGCCAGCAGGAUGAAGUACAGGAAGACCAAGGACUGGGUCUUGCUCUCAUGUCAUAACAAUCCCCUGCAUAACUCCAGACUGGGGGCAGAAUGGCUGGAAAGCUUCCCGGAAGAAAAGAAGGCUUCAAUUUGCUACUUCUCCUGGGAAGAAAAAAAGAUUUCAAAGGCACAAAAAAUGUGUGGACGCCCAUCUCUUAUUGACAUCUUUGAAAGUCACAAUUUAAGUAGGAUGAUUUACUUAAUAGACAUAUUUUACUUGAUUCUUUACCAAUCAGUUUCAUUAAGUCCUUAAAAACAUUUUUCCUCUUACAGUAAUUCUGACCAAAAAAAAAAAUGCCAGGACAUUUCAGUCACUACCUCUCAAAACACUGCCGCUGCACAAAUGUAAGAUCCACUGUUUUCAGCCAUUAUUACAGAACACAAAAAAUUUAUUUUUAUAAGGUUGCUAGGCAGUUAAACCACCUUGAAAGAAAUGAACUAUUUGUGUGCAAGCAUGUACAACAAAGUUAUUGAUGGAAUACUAAAUAAAAAAGGAAUACGUGAGAGCUAAAUCCAGAGAUAUUUACUGGUGCUGUACUAUUAUAUUCCAGCAACACUGACAUUUCAGUCUGCAGUUUCCAACAGCCACUGCAAUAUAAUUUAAGCCCCAAAAUCAAAACUGUCAGUGCUUUUGGACCUGUGAGAUGGAGGAAUAGUUUAUUUUAAAGCUGCAUUUUUCUUUCCACCAACUUUCUAUGUCUCACAAGAACACAGAAAGUUUCACGCACAUUUCCUCCUGGAAAAUGACUAUUUCACUGUCUUUGAUACAAAACUGUAGAACCACAAGAGCUAUUUGGGCAUAAAGAGACAUUUAGAAUUCAUAGAAUGGCUUUGGUUGGAAGGGACAUUAAGAUCAUCAAGUUCCAACCCCUGAAGCUCAUCAGUUGCAUCUGUUCCAAAUUCUUGUGCAAAGCAUGGCCAGUUUUGAAGCAGGAUAUGACCUGGAAGCACCAGAAGUUUAGAAGGGUUUAAAAUCACAUGAGCAUUGUCUGUUACAAAUCUUGCAAGUCCCAUAAUUUUUUUUCCACUUUUGACAUACUGACUUUUUCCUCCUGUCUGUGCAGAGUCUAUGGGAAUGUUCAUUCUGGGCAAAGCAAGCAGGAGAAGGUUUUGCCAUCAAUGCUGUAUCUCAGCCCCAAAUUUAUAUACAUUUACCUAAGAAGUGUUAAAAAAAUCCCCUUUCCCCAAGCCAAUGAGUUCUCACAGUUCUUUUUUAGAACUUGAGCUAAGGAACCAUUGUUGAUAUAUAGUAUAAGAUUUGAAAAUAAAUCUAUUAAAAUUUGGCUGAAAGGCAAAUGGAGGGCUACAUUGAAUACAAGAGGAAUUUUUAUGCAAAAAAAUUUUAAAAAUGGAAAAUAGAGGAAGUUUAAUUUUUAGUAUUGUUGUGACUUUUCAAAUGAAAAUUUUUUACUGAAAACCAAAAGUUGAAAAAAGUUCAAUAUCAAUUUUUGAAGCCAAAUAAAACUUUAAUUCCUAAUUAAUAAUGUCCAUUAACAAGAUUCACAAUAAAAACAGGGCCCAAGGUGUGGGGCCAAUCUAGAAUGCAAGCUUUGGGAAUUUUGUCUCUUAAUGUAUCCUCAAGUCAUGUUUAUAGAUUUUUAGGUCCUCAGCUGGUUUAAUGUUUCAAGGAAUUCUAUGUAAAAAAGCAUGAUGAUAAUCCCAUGAAGAUAGUUCUACCUUUUACUCUUGUUAUUUAAAGAAAACUUUUAAAAGUGAGGGAAGCAAUGAACAAUUUAUUUGGGGUCUUUUAAAUAACCCCAGGAGUUGACAGUGUGAAUCUUUUAAAGGGAAAACAUCAGCUCAUGCAAGAUGCAGGUUAAAAUGAACAAAAACUUGGCAGCAGCUUGAGCUCAAAGUGCUGCAUAUACGUUUUCUGGAUACACUGAGCAGAUAAACCCAGCUCCUGCAGAAAUGAAUAGGAGCUGGCACAUAAGUACCUGCAAGAAUCCACACCGCUGCCCGUGAUAAAACAUCUGGUUUAUCAUCGGCAGCAGAACCAGUAGAAUUAAGUGGUUAAUACUUCAAAGUAUACAAAAUGUAACUGUAAAUUCAACAGAGCUUUCUGCUGGAGACCAUGUAAGGACACCAUAAUAACAGCAAAUUGAUUCCCCUAAACCUUUGCUUUGCAUUUGCUGUAAGACAGGAUUUUCAGUAAACCACUCCAGCUAUCCUCUGUGUUAAUAAUAACUACCUCACUGGCUGUUGAAUGAGCCACACUUACAGACACAAGGAGAAAAAAAAUAAAAGAAAAAAAAAUGCUGCAGACAUGAAGGAAUUCCUUGUUGGAGCUCCCAUUUGUUGCAGCUUUAUAAAGAUAUAGAACUUGGGUCAAUUUAAUUCAGCAGAUCCAUAUAGUGACUUAAUACUAUUGUUUUUCUCCUUUACAGCCUGAUGAGAUAUAAGUAAUUGAAAAACUACUCCAUUAAAACCAAGUAAAUGCAUUUCCUCCAGGCUUUACUCUUUCCUCUCUCUAAAAUGACCCUGACUGGUUUCAGUCUCAUGGGAGAAUUAACUGUGCAGGUGUUAUAAAGCUCAUUGCACCAGACACUGUCACUACUGUGGUUAAUGAGAAGUUGUUCUUUUUGUACAAUCCCCUCCCAUAAGGAGGGUAUGUCGCUUGCAUAAUAGCUCCAGACCCACAGGAAACCUGUGACAAUGUCUCUUCCCAAAGGCAACAAGCACAAGGAUCAUCCACACCAGCUGCCUGACAGAGUUCAAACAGUUUGGACUUAUGCUCCCAGACAUAUGUUGUGAUUUUUGGGGUUGUCCCGUGCAGAGCCAGGAGAAUUGUUGUGUUUGAUGGUCCCUGUAGGUCCCAUCUAACUCAGAAUGUUUUAUGGUUCCAUCUAGGGUUCCAUCUGAGCCCCAACACUUGCAUACAUACACAGUACAUGCACAUCCAUACAGUGUUUUCCUCCUACCAGCUGCCUUUGCACACAUGCUUCUGUCCAUCUUCCACAGGGAUUUGCAAAGACAAAGACUGCAGGUUUUGGGUUUUUUUUUUUUACUUUUAUGGCACUUCUUAGCCACUCUUCUCUAUUUGAAAAGACUACUGCCUUAAUAAUGGUACAAUUGGAAUUUUAUGCUGGCAGAUAAUUUCCAUUUUCCAGGUCUUGCUGGUCACUUCCGAGCCAUUCCUACAGCACUCAGUUCCUUGAUGAGCUAUGAGUGGAGCAGUUGCGAUCUAGCUUGUAACUGUGAUCCAAGCUGCAGCAUUUCUGAGGUUUUACAUAUUUCACACAAAUAUUGAUAGAUGUAAAAAUAAAAUCAAAAAAGCUGAACUGUAAGCUUCAUAUUUCAUGAGGUUUUUCUUCUAGUUAUAAAACCAUUUACCUGCAUAUGAAAGGAGGUAAAUUCCUCUACUCUGAAAUGGUCUUCUUUGGGUCUCAAAAUCCCUAAAUGCAUUAGAUAGAAGAUUGGAAAAAAAAAAAAAAAAAAGGCAGGAAUCUCAAACUUUGCUGCAAAAUAUUGCCCUAAGGUAAAACUGAUCCACUCUGCUGUCACAGAAGACAGGACAGGUCAGAUGCUAAUUCCCCAGAUAUGAGAAAGAUAGAGAUUUCUGUGACAACAUUCACAACAUGCUCAGUUUUGUCUUCCUAUAGGUUAUUAUUUCUCUUUAUGUCAUGCAGUACAAUCUCUUUUUAAAAUGGGGUUCCUACAUCAUGCACAAUCUGCUCCAUUGGGGGUAAGACCACCAGAGAUCAUUAUAUGCAUUCUCUGGUCCAUCACUGCAGUCAAAAGGUAAGGCACAGCAGGAUGAGAGGGAGGAGACCUUUUCUGUACCUCUGCCAGCUGUAAUAAAAUGUGAUCUGUCUAUCCUUACUCCUGGUGAUAACAAGGUGCUUGUAGAUCUUCAUCUUUUCACUUUCUGCUGCAGAGCUGUAAAUCAGGAGAGGUGCAGGGCUUGACUCUUUCUACCCCCCUGUCUUGCCUGUUCUGUAAUUCAGAUCAAUCACUUAAAGUGUCCAUAGAACCAGUUAGCUGCUCCAGAUGCUGCCAAAGCAAAUGAGUCAUAGGCAAAAUUAGGGACAUUUGGUCACAGGUAUGUAUGAUGAGCAUGACCCCAUAUGGUGUGGGAUGUCCUUUGGGUCAGUUGUCCCAGCUGCAUCCCCUCCUUGUGCACUCCCAGCCUCCUCUCUGGUGGGGUGGGGUGAGCAGAGGAAAGUCUUUGGCUUUGCUCAGCAGUAACAAAAACAUUCCUGUGCUAUCAGCAAUGUUUUGGUCACACAACUGAAACAUAGCCCAUCCCAGCUGCAAUGAAGAACAUUAAGUCUCUCCCAUCCAAAACCAGUGCACCUGGCCACAUGUGUUUUGAAGUCAUUAGUUCAAAUAGACAAACACUUAUUUAGAAUAAAAGUACCGUGCCUGGGAUGGAGAAGCAAUGCAGGAGCUGUGCACUGGCCCCUCUGUCACAAGUUUUCUGCAGGCAUAUUAAUUCAGUUUGUAAAACAGACAUCAAGCAGCCAUAAAUGCAAGCAAAGCAGUAAAUUCCUUUUUUUCAUAUAUAAAGGGAGGAGCUUUGUGAAAAUAACUCUGUGUACCUGCUGUCCCCUGUCUCUCCUCAAGCUUUAAACUUCAAACAGACUAUUUGGACUUCCUCAGAUCAGUCGGGACUAUGAAUUUCAGGUGGGGUAAAUAAAAUACAUUUAAUUGCAAUAUUUUCUUUUUAAAGGAUUUACCAGCUUUCUUUAGAUGACACACAAUGGGUCAGCUCCUGGAAAGAACCCUGUUACCCUUUCAUUUAUGACCCAGAUUUGCUGACAAAAUCAGCAUUGACAAAGAAAUAGGUAUUUUGUAUAUCCACAGAUGUGAGAAUCAAGACUCAAUUCCAAUUAGAUUUAUUUUCUUCUCUCUUUUCAUCACACCUGGCAGACUGAGAACACUGACUGAAGCCAACUUUUAGAAAGGUAAGGAAAAUAGUUGGCUUUGUCACACUCACCAGUCAACCAAUGUUCCAUGCUAUCUAUUAAUGCUAAUCUGGCAUGUCCAUCCCCAGAUGUGAAUUUCUGAAAAUUCAUAGAUCCUGGUAGUGCUUCCUUCAUAUUUCUCAGCUAAGCUGCUGGAAAUACAUGCCAUAAAUUAAAUUGCAGUGGAUACUAGGCCAGGACUUUGGGAGUUUGCUCAGGUCUAUCAGAAUAUUUAUGAAGCACAAAGAUGUUCAAUAGUUCUCAGGGUUUAUAUAUAUUACCACUGAGUCCAACAUUCUGGAUUCAAGCAUAAGCAUGGGAUGUGUUUUCCCACAGCCAAGAGAUAAUGAUUCCAACUGGAAACAUGAAAUCUGCUCACAGAGCCAGAUGCUCAGCUGCAGUAAAGUAAGGUCUCUCAGAAUGACAGAGUUAUGCUGUUCUGUAUUUCAGAACUUUAAUGUUUGUUAGUAUAACAUGAUAACAGCAAGUGUCUCUGGGCAGCUGGCAUAAAUUAUUGUAGUUUCAACCUUCAUAGAAUCUGUCUUAUGAUGUAGUUUUUCUCUUACUCACUGUACAAAUGCACUGCAACUGAACAGAGGUAAACAGGAGUUUAUCCUGGUUCCCAUUUUGCCGGUGAUAUAACUUUCCUCUCACAAACCUUCCUCUCACACUCUGGGUAACUGAUAUAGCUAGAAGUAGCAUUGGAAGCAGAAAAUCUGUUUAUUGUCUAGUUCCAGGAAGAGUUUGCAAAGCCAGCAACAUUAAAAAAAAAUAAUUUAAA